CUUACUGGAUUUCACCUAUUCUGAUUUAUUUCAAUCAUUUAGCAAAUGGUGGCAUAAUUUCCAGCAUGAUCGUGCCUUCAUCUGUGUAAAACAAAUGGAGUCAAUCACAAAAGGAGAAUACGUCAAAUAGUGUCAAGUGUCUAAUUCUGUAUCUUGCCUCUGCAGGUGUACAACCCUAUUGAGAAUUUCAAUAAGAAAGGACAUGAAACAGCUCAGCUAACUUCAGAAUAACAAUGCACAAGGAGAUGCUGUCUAUGUGAGAGUGAUGCAGAGGAAGCCUUGAGACAGCAACGGCACCCUUAAACUGGUUGUGAGCAGACAAACUGCCGACAUGAUAAAAAAUGGUAAGUUACAGAUUCUAUUCAAUAUAUUUCUAACAUUAUUAACUCCAGCCUCCAAGGUUGAUGAUGCAUGCAGAAAGAGGACACAUCACAACUAGGAAGAAACGAAGUUAAUGAUGUGCAAUGAUAGCUCAGUCACCUGAUUAAUCUUUAAUUAUAAGCUUUAUCAAAAGAGUGAAAUGUUGGGUUGUAUUUUUCAGAUAACAACUAUGUAACAUACAUAAUGGAGCAAGUAAGAGCUGCAAACCAGAAUCAAGGUAAACUUCCCUUAGUAUUCCACUGUGUGUGUGUGUGUGUGUGUGUGUGUGUGUGUGUGUGUGUGUGUGUGUGUGUGUGUGUGUGUGUGUGUGUGUGUGUGUGUGUGUGUGUGUGUGUGUGUGUGUGUGUGUGUGGUUAAAAUAUGUUUUCAAUUGUAACCUUAGGUAGCAUCGGCAGGAAAUCCACAAAUUAACCCACCUUUGUCCACUGGUCAACUUUUGAGAGACCAGUGUCCCACCCCUGUUACCAAGAUGCCAGUGUCCAUCAACCCUAGUCCCAUAGCAGGAACUCAACCUUCAACCUUGAGCACAUCUGUUCAGUCAGUUCAAACAUUCAAUCAGCACCCUAAUCAAGUUGCCCAGGUUCAACUUUCCAAAAUCCCAGGUCAGAGUGAGUCAGUUGUCCCACUCACCCAGUGCAUUACUUCUGUUAAAACAUCUCCAAAGGGACUGCAAUCUUCAUGUCCAUCCAAUGAGCCAGAAUGCCAUGGACCACCGACAGAAUUCACACACAGUACUACACUGCUGCUUCUAGAGCUAACAAGAGAACAUCAGCAUCUCUAUCACCGUAACAAACCUUUAUUCUAUAAAAAGCUGGAACAGGAAUUCUCUCGACGAGAAUACAACUUCACUAACGAGAAAAUAAGAAAAAAGCUGGGAAACAUGGUAACCACAUACAAACGAGCCUAAGACAGAAGUAGACUGACACGAGGGGAGAAAAUUACCUGGGACUAUUACACACAAAUGGAUGAACUUUUUGGUCGCACUGCGGUGGGAAGUGCACCACCUGGCACAGCUGUUUCAACUCCCCUCUUUCCUAAAGAAGCCCAUCCUUCAGCGGCUCAGUCAUCACCUGCUGAAACCGAAGAGCAACCUGGUCCCUCAUCGGCCAUACAGGACAGAAAAGCUUCUGGCUCUAAGAGAAGCAAGAAUGCUCAUCUCCCAGCGUUUUUUCAGUCCUAUGAGGCCCAUGCUGAAUGCAGGACCACUGCCUUGGAGUCACUUACAAGACCAGAAUUGGCCAACUGGAGACGGCUGAAAGAAAAAAAGAAGAAGGGGGUUUGAGAAACAAGUCAUUCCAUGCAUGGGUCAAAUUCUGAAUCAGUUAAAAGAACUUGGAAAGCAGCAAGAAAAACGUAUCAGUUUGUUAGAAGGACACUCAAAAUAAAAAUGUAUAUCUGAGCGUUGAAGGUAUUUUUGUUUUUCUUAUCUUUAAAGGAUUGGAGCAGUGGUUGGCAUGUCAAAUUACUAACGGUAAUGCCACUUUGCCUCUAGGCACCACUGAUGCUCCGAGAUCCCCUGAUGGUUUUGCCUGGGUUCAUAUCACCCAGUUUCCAUGAGCUGCCACUGGGAGGCACAUCAGGAGUCUUGAUGAUAGAGAUGCACUUUGUUUAAAACUUAAUGUACAGAUUUAGGAGUUGGAGAGCAGACUGAUUUCACUUAAGGUGCAUCAAAUCACCCUGUGGCAUACAGCACACUAGCUCACAUAAAUGUGUGGGAAUGAAAAAUAAAACCAAACAUUGGAUAAGGUGCUGGGGUAAGGGUGGGCUAGCUUAAAUCUGGGAACAAAUCCUGUCUCUGUAGUUUGAAGCAUCUUCAUUGUUGGGUUGUGGUGGAUGUGGAUCAUUCUCGUCCUGCUCUAGCUCAUCCUCCUCCACAUGGUCACUAGGAUCCAAACAAAUGUUGUACAGAAUGCAGCAUGCUGUCACAGUUGCACUAAUAUGUCCUAUGCCUUUCACGUGAAGACAUCUGAGCCUCCUAAACUUUGCUUUCAGCAUGCCAAAUGCAUGUUUAAUGACAACACGCGCCACAUUCAGUUUUCUAUUAAAGUGCCUUUGGCUGGCUGUGAUGUGCCCAUUAUCCCUGUGAGGCUUCAUCAGCCGUGGCAAUAGGGGGUAAGCUGAAUCUCCAAUGAUGUGCAUGCCAUUUGGGACCAGAGCCUGGGGGUCUUCUUCAAGUAGGUGUGCAACAGUUGUGUGGCAAAUGGCUCUUGCAUCAUGCCAGCUGCCAGGGUGGCCCACACUGACAUGACAGAAGCGGCGAUUGCUGUUUGCAAACCCAGUGAGGAUUAUGGAAUAGAACUGUUUUCUGUUAUAGUAUGCUGUGGGAUCAUUGCAAUUUGGUCUGACAAUGGGAAUGUGACAUCCAUCAACGGCACAGACUGUAUUUGGAAAAUCUGCCCUCUGAAAUCCGACCUGUGAGGUAUGAAGCUGUUCACCAGUAGGCCAAGAAAUGUAAUGUGACAAAUGUGUGAUGACCAGGGAGCAGAAGUGAUGGAGAUGUGCAAAAACUGUAGAUUUGGAUAUGUUAAAACGGUCCGCCACUCCCCUGUAUGACUCCUGAUUUUCCAGCGUCCACAGACAGGCAAGAACACUUUUGGACAGGGGUAAUUUGGUGUGCUGUCUGUUCAUGUGGAAUGGUCCCAGUGCCAUCACUAGAUCCUAAAUGGAAAAGUCAGAAAGUGAACAUGAUGUCUGAGCAAAUAUGAGUAGUGGUGACCAUCACAAAAGCCUACCUCCACUUGUCCUCUGGAAAGUCUGAAGUGGCUUUUAAAGUCAGAAUGACGGUAAAAAGGAAUAACAUUCUCAACAAAGUGUUUAACUUUUGGCACAGACCUGACAGAAAUUAUAUGCACAUUAUUCUAAUUUACAUCUGAAGCAGUAUCUUCAAAGGCGAAAUAUGCAGCCUUGUUUAACUUUUGGACUAUUUUCAAAUGAGUUUUUAGAUCUUAAACAAAGAAACAGAAACAAAUGCACAUGGCGGUUGUAUUUGGCGUUCUACUACUUUAACAGCAGAUGACAUAGCACAACUGAUGGGACUGGUAGCUAACACCACUUACUUCACAUACGAUGACGCAAUAUACAAAAAACUGGAAGGCUUCGCCAUGGGUUACCCAUUAUCAGCCACCAUGUGCGAGUUUUCAUGUUUAUGUUUAUUCAUUUAGCAGACGCUUUUAUCCAAAGCGACUUACAACACACACACACACACACACACACCUACACACACACACACACACACUCCAUUUUCUUGUAGAAGAAUAGGUAUUUCAUCUGCAUCUAUUCCAUCCGCAAAUAUGAACGCUAACGCGAUAUCUUUAGCCAUCGUCACCUGUGAGCUACACAUGCAGGAAAUUGUGUCCGACUUAAUCGCCGGCUUUCAGCCACUCCCCCAGCUCUUGUCUGUUUUCCAGGCGAGGCGCAUCUCUACUCGAACACGGCCAAGAUGAACGGCUCUCUACAGGCACUCGGCUCUCAUCGUUUACUUUGAAAACCCGUUCAAAAGCUUUGAUUUGUUCAUGAACGUCACAUCACUAAAUGCCAUAGAAUUAGCGAUGCAUGUCGUAACCAAACAUUAAUUAAA